GUGGGGGAGUGGGACCCCCAUCACCCACUACCUUUCCUCGAGUCUGUUUACUGGGAGCCACAACCUUGGUUUUAUUUGCUCAUAUGCACGAUAUGCACGAUUUACUUCCUGUUGCCUUCGGGUGUUUAUAUUCUGUACUGUACUCAUAUUGCGUGCCAACUUAUCCUUGGCCGGUCGUUAGUGCCCGCCUUGGACGCCAUCGCAACCUCUGGGUCCGUAUCGGAGUACGGCCGAACUUCAUCACGGGUAGCUUAGUUGGGUGGCUCCCAUUAAACUUUCUCUUGCAUUGGGAACGGUCUUGAUGUGAGACUCCACCUGUAGUAAGUGGGUUCGAGCAUGCGUAUGGUUACAUUUGGGCAACCCCUGCAGGGUGUACAUCUUAUCGAUAAGCCGUGUCCGCGGUUAUGGACGACUUGGAAUUGUAUAGCUUGAUCAUAGAACAACUUACACCAUUAUCUUGUUGCUAAUCAUCUGCUAAUAACUUGCGUAGUAAUAUAGCAUUACUACAACCGAUACCUAAUAAAAUUUGUCUACCGUUGAGUGCCUUUUACAUUGCCUCUUCGCAAUUGUUGGAGAGGAUAUGUGUAAUCGGCUGGGUUAUGUUUGUGUAGUAUUUAUCUGUUACCUUGUGCGCUCUCUUAUCUUAUCUGAAUAGACGGAUGUCAUAGCGUGUCUCUAUUGGUUAUAGUUUUGCUGCCGCUAAACCUACCAUAUAGCCCCCGGCGAUAUAUAUAUUAUACUCGCCCGGCGAGCAUAGCCAUUUCUAGUCUCGCUAAGUACGUGCCGGAGUUCGUUCCUUGGUACUUACUCUCGCCUUUUCCCCUUUCUCUUUUGCUUCCUCCCUCUUGUCGGCAACCGAUGGCCCGACUUUGACAGGUACAAGAUGACGACGUUAGCAAGGUUACCCUUCCGGCUUGGCCUGGGCAGGGUUAUGGACGCCACUGGUUAUCUUCAGGACUCUUAGUCCAAUUUGUAUCUUGUCCGUACUCGAACGUAUUCGAUCUUCUGUAUGAUUUGGAUCUUUGUAUUGUAUAUUUGUAUCUUGACUCGUUGGAGUCGUUGUUGUAAUAUAUGUAUCUUGUGGGCUCUAUUGUAA